rnacentral:rRNA from 1 species
AACGAACGCUGGCGGCGUGCUUAAUACAUGCAAGUCGAACGUGAAUCCCGACUUCGGUUGGGAUGAAAGUGGCGAACGGGUGAGUAACACGUAAGUAAUCUGCCUUCAAGUUUGGGAUAACCCUGCCAACGCGGGGCUAAUACCGGAUGUGGUCCAGCUGACACAUGUUGGUUGGAUUAAAGGUCGCGAGGCCGCUUGGAGAUGAGCUUGCGGCCCAUUAGUUAGUUGGUGAGGUAACGGCCCACCAAGACGAAGAUGGGUAGCCGGCCUGAGAGGGUGUACGGCCACAUUGGGACUGAGAUACGGCCCAGACUCCUACGGGAGGCAGCAGUAGGGAAUUUUGCGCAAUGGACGGAAGUCUGACGCAGCAACGCCGCGUGAAGGAUGACGGCCUUCGGGUUGUAAACUUCUGUUGGAUGGGAAAAAAGACCUUUUAGAAGGAAUUGAUGGUACCAUUCGAGUAAGCACCGGCUAACUACGUG